AGCAGUCUAUGCUUGUUUUGAUCUAUAUAGGCUAAACUUUAUUAGGUGAAAAUCAUUUUAAACCUACAAGGUUCCGUCGCAUCAGAUAUUUGAACACCAAUUAGAAAUAUUUAAUAUAGCUUAAUUAAAAAAUCAAUUUUAUAAGUGAAGAUUAAUUCAUGAGAUGAAUCCAAUAAACUUAAUUAGUUCACGAUUUAAACAUAUAAACAUGUGCUAAUGAUAUCUUAGUAGAUUCAUCUCGCGAAUUAAUCUCAGGUUAUGCAAUUAAUUUUAUAAUCAGCACCUAUUUAGUCCUUUUAAUUGGAACAUAAAGAUAGGAACUGAAGUUUAAUCAGAGGAUCCAAACACUCUAAACCUAAACUUUGGUCUAAAUUAGCUUGGUUUUAUGGACUAAUGGAUGAAACUAAAUUUUAGUUCAAGGUGUAGUUCACCGGUUUGGAUUAAUAGACUAAUUUUAGGUAUAAAAUUUAGUCAAUGCUUUUCAAGCAUGAUCUAAAUCUAAAUGAGCUCCGAGGAUCCGGGGUGCCCGUCGUGCCUAGAAUAUUUGCUUGUGAACUUGCAUACCAGUGUCGCAAGAGAUGAAUAUAGAAUGGAUAAUAACUGGGAUUAUUUUGCGUGGGUGCCCCGGUACGGACUACCGAUGAACGAAUGGCUGCUCUGUUCAGCUCAAAUAACAGAAAGGGGCCCCUAACAAAACCGGCUUGGGGAUAUUUUUCCCUUUUUGGUUUCAUGUUGCUUUUUGUCACUUUCUAUGCAGUUCAAAACCGCAUCUCAUUGUUUAUUUGAGCAUAUAUAACUUUAGUAUACUUUAUUAGAAGAGUUAACUUAAAUAAAAAACUUGAUAAAUAAAGACCCUAAAAAAACUUGAUAAAAU